CACCGAGGAAGAAGAUCUCAGGCUGUGACCAUCUGGAGGUAAGAAGCACUUUCUGUUUUGUGAAAGAAAAGAAAGUGCUUCCUUUCAGAGGGUUACUCUUUGAGAAAAGCAACGUUGAAGGUU
rnacentral:precursor_RNA from 8 species